GAAGACGCGCAAAUUGUUAUCAUCCCUAUUCUUUAAGAGAUUUUAUUCGGCCACCACUUGGUGGCCAUUUU
rnacentral:sRNA from 1 species